rnacentral:rRNA from 1 species
UACGUAUGAAGCAAGCGUUGUUCGGAAUUAUUGGGCGUAAAGGGCAUCUAGGCGGGAUGUUAAGUCAGGUGUGAAAGCUAAGGGCUCAACCCUUAAAUUGCAUUUGAUACUGGCAUUCUUGAGUUCAGAAGAGGAAGGCGGAAUUCCCGGUGUAGCGGUGAAAUGCGUAGAUAUCGGGAAGAACACCGGUGGCGAAGGCGGCCUUCUGGUCUUGGACUGACGCUGACAUGCGAAAGUGUGGGGAUCAAACGGG